AUUGAACGCUGGCGGCAGGCCUAACACAUGCAAGUCGAACGGUAACAGGAAACAGCUUGCUGAUUCGCUGACGAGUGGCGGACGGGUGAGUAAUGUCUGGGAAACUGCCUGAUGGAGGGGGAUAACUACUGGAAACGGUAGCUAAUACCGCAUAACGUCGCAAGACCAAAGAGGGGGACCCUCGGGCCCCUUGCCAUCGGAUGUGCCCAGAUGGGAUUAGCUUGUUGGUGGGGUAACGGCUCACCAAGGCGACGAUCCCUAGCUGGUCUGAGAGGAUGACCAGCCACACUGGAACUGAGACACGGUCCAGACUCCUACGGGAGGCAGCAGUGGGGAAUAUUGCACAAUGGGCGCAAGCCUGAUGCAGCCAUGCCGCGUGUAUGAAGAAGGCCUUCGGGUUGUAAAGUACUUUCAGCGGGGAGGAAGGGAGUAAAGUUAAUACCUUGGCUCAUUGACGUUACCCGCAGAAGAAGCACCGGCUAACUCCGUG
rnacentral:rRNA from 1 species